UCCCCUCACAAAGAAAGCAUGGAAGCUCCAGGAAGCCAGGGAGGGGGGGAGGAUUGACCCAACGUCCAGACUUCCCAGCCUAGGCCGGGGAUGGGCUCCUCUGGAAGCCCCUCUUCCUCUGUUGGCUCAGACCCAGAUCCGUUCGCAACCGGACCGGGAGCCAGGCUUGGCCCAGUGAUCCACGGGAAGAGAUGAGCAGAGGGCUGGCCGGGCAUCCAGACGCCUAGCUCACUGCACCCUGCUCGACUGCACAUCCCAGUGAGCACUGAGCCAGGGCUUGGUGUUGGAGUCGCCAUCAGAAGCAGACCCCUCAGCUGCUUGUACCUCAGGUUCUGUGAAGGGAGCAGUUUAAAACUCCGGGAAUAUGGGCAGCCUCAGGCUGUGGACCCAGACCAGAAGGGGCGCAAACCUACUUGUCUGCUUGAGCUAGCCCAUUGUUCUCCUACAAUAAAAUACCUGAGAGAGCAUUCCCGUGUCUGAGCUGAAGGAGACGGAGCGUGAAGAAGCUGAAAGAUCUAACAGAGAGGGACUGCCGGAAGUUUACAGGGAAGAUGGCUAAUCCCUGCCAGUGGGGUGAAGAAGUCAGACAUCUGGUUGCUGGUUUGUUUCCUGCUCAAAUUUAGGGCAGAGGGGCCCCUAGAAAUUUGGGUCUAGGGAGCGUGGAGAAGAAAGGAAGUAAGUAGGAGGGAGGUGUGUGUGUGUGUGUGUGUGCACUGUUCUGUAUGCUUUGGGUUGGAAGCUGCUGCCGGAAGCUAGGGAGGAGGUUUGGCACAGCAUUCAAAGCCCUCAGCUUCCGGGAGUGGGCUGUAUCUGAGAAGCCCUUGCAUGUUUGCCCUUGGCCCAAGUCCAUGCUUUCAGGAGGAGCCUGUGGCUUUGGUCCAA